AUUGAACGCUGGCGGCAUGCCUUACACAUGCAAGUCGAACGGUAACAGGUCUUCGGAUGCUGACGAGUGGCGAACGGGUGAGUAAUACAUCGGAACGUGCCCGAUCGUGGGGGAUAACGAAGCGAAAGCUUUGCGAAUACCGCAUAAGACCUAAGGAUGAAAGCAGGGGACCGCAAGGCCUUGCGCGAACGGAGGGGCCGAUGGCAGAUUAGGUAGUUGGUGGGGUAAAAGCUUACCAAGCCGACGAUCUGUAGCUGGUCUGAGGGGACGAUCAGCCACACUGGGACUGAGACACGGCCCAGACUCCUACGGGAGGCAGCAGUGGGGAAUUUUGGACAAUGGGCGCAAGCCUGAUCCAGCCAUGCCGCGUGCAGGAUGAAGGCCUUCGGGUUGUAAACUGCUUUUGUACGGAACGAAAAGAUUCUGGUUAAUACCUGGGGUCCAUGACGGUACCGCAAGAAUAAGCACCGGCUAACUACGUGCCAGCCGCCGCCGUAA
rnacentral:rRNA from 1 species